UACAAAUUUGUGGGGUUUUUAUUUCAGC
rnacentral:piRNA from 1 species